CAGCACUUCAGAAGGGCUCCACUACUCCCCUAUGGCUUGACUCCCAGGAAAAUAUGUACUAGAUGAAGUAAAUAAAGCCAAGAAAAAGAUUAGUGCACUCUAGUAAUUCUCAUGGCAGAUGCACUUUAAGAUGAUUGAAAACAAUCAGGAGGAAAGAUUUUAGAACUCUAAGCAAUGCUACUAGUUGGCCUCCCAAUGCUAUGUAAUUUUCCUCUUAUUAUGCUGAUUAAAGAAGAUUACCUUUAAUAAUAUAAAAUUUUUUCUUUUUCUUUUUUUGGUUCAACUGAUUUGUAUUUUAAGUUUGUCUACAGCAAUACAAGAAAGAAAAUAUCUGUACCUGUACUCAUAAAGAAGGCUUUACAGAAACUACCCCAGAAACAUGUGUAAGGUUCCCAGAAUGAAUCUUCUUGAAGGAGACAGUCAUGCAGAUGUGCAAUAAAUGUCUUCGUUAAGUUUGAAAGGCUAUUCCAAGAAUAAACGAGGCAGCGUCUAGUGCUGGAGAAGCAGUGAAUAUAGAACAAGACAGGAGAAAGUGCAUUUUCCAAGCCUUUUUCACAAAAGUUUUCCUUCAGUCUCCUCAGCUGGUGUCAGGCACAGAAGGCUGAAGAUUAGCUAUUGAACCUCUUCUCCACCAUUUUCUCCUUCCCUGGGUAUGAACUACACCAGAUAAAAAGGGGAUGAACCACUGCAGAUCUUUUUAUGCCUCAACGACUGGAUCCAGACACGAUGGGAUGGGCAGUGGUACCCGGAAGGACAGCAAACCCAGCCCAGCACACUCAAGGAAAGCCAAACAAAACCAAAGAGUCGAACUGGGAUGAGAGGGACACAUAGAGUCAGUGCUGGUGACAUGAGCCAACUUUACUACUGACCUUCCUUGGGAGUCCUCUUCUGUGAUGGGUCAUUUGGCAGCCUCAAAGAAAGGUACUUUUGUUUAGGGAAACAUCUCCCCAUCCCUGAAAGGAGUAGUUUUCAAUAUGUAUUAUCUGAAUCAGGAUUCAUGCAUUUUUGAUGAUAUAAAGGAAGUGAGAGAAAAGCAUUUGGCUCAGUUCCCCAGUUUACUUAUUGUUGAAAUCUG
rnacentral:lncRNA from 1 species